rnacentral:rRNA from 1 species
UAGGGGGCUAGCGUUAUCCGGAAUUACUGGGCGUAAAGGGUGCGUAGGUGGUUUCUUAAGUCAGAGGUGAAAGGCUACGGCUCAACCGUAGUAAGCCUUUGAAACUGGGGAACUUGAGUGCAGGAGAGGAGAGUGGAAUUCCUAGUGUAGCGGUGAAAUGCGUAGAUAUUAGGAGGAACACCAGUUGCGAAGGCGGCUCUCUGGACUGUAACUGACACUGAGGCACGAAAGCGUGGGGAGCAAA